rnacentral:rRNA from 1 species
UACGGAGGGUGCGAGCGUUGUCCGGAAUCAUUGGGCGUAAAGGGCGCGUAGGUGGCCCGGUCAGUUCGUGGUGAAAGCGCGGGGCUCAACCCUGCGUCGGCCAUGAAUACUGCCGCGGCUGGAGCACUGUAGAGGCAGGCGGAAUUCCGGGUGUAGCGGUGGAAUGCGUAGAGAUCCGGAAGAACACCGGUGGCGAAGGCGGUGAGCUGGGCAGUAGCUGGACACUGAGGCGCGACAGCGUGGGGAGCAACAGG